rnacentral:rRNA from 1 species
ACGGAGGGUGCAAGCGUUAUUCGGAUUUAUUGGGCGUAAAGGGCGCGUAGGCGGCUUUUUAAGUCAGAUGUGAAAUCCCGGGGCUUAACCCCGGAAGUGCAUUUGAAACUGGGAAGCUUGAGUAUGGGAGAGGGAAACGGAAUUCCUGGUGUAGCGGUUAAAUGCGCAGAUAUCAGGAGGAACACCGGUGGCGAAAGCGGUUAGACAGACCAAUACUGACCCUGAGGCGCGAAGGCGCAGGGAUCAAACAG